UACAGAGGUGGCAAGCGUUGUUCGGAAUUACUGGGCGUAAAGGGCUCGUAGGUGGCCAACUAAGUCAGACGUGAAAUCCCUCGGCUUAACCGGGGAACUGCGUCUGAUACUGGAUGGCUUGAGUUCGGGAGAGGGAUGCGGAAUUCCAGGUGUAGCGGUGAAAUGCGUAGAUAUCUGGAGGAACACCGGUGGCGAAGGCGGCAUCCUGGACCGACACUGACGCUGAGGAGCGAAAGCCAGGGGAGCAAACGGG
rnacentral:rRNA from 1 species